GUACCUACGGGAGGCAGCAGUGAGGAAUAUUGGUCAAUGGGCGGGAGCCUGAACCAGCCAAGUCGCGUGAGGGAAGACGGUCCUACGGAUUGUAAACCUCUUUUGCCGGGGAGCAACGGGGUCCUUGCGAGGGCCCGAUGAGAGUACCCGGAGAAAAAGCGUCGGCUAACUACGUGCCAGCAGCCGCGGUAAUACGUAGGGGGCAAGCGUUGUCCGGAAUGAUUGGGCGUAAAGGGCGCGUAGGCGGCCUGGUAAGUCUGGAGUGAAAGUCCUUCUUUUAAGGAGGGAAUUGCUUUGGAUACUGC
rnacentral:rRNA from 1 species